rnacentral:rRNA from 1 species
UACGAAGGGGGCUAGCGUUGCUCGGAAUUACUGGGCGUAAAGCGCACGUAGGCGGCUUUCUAAGUCGGGGGUGAAAUCCUGGAGCUCAACUCCAGAACUGCCUUCGAUACUGGAGAGCUCGAGUCCGGGAGAGGUGAGUGGAACUGCGAGUGUAGAGGUGAAAUUCGUAGAUAUUCGCAAGAACACCAGUGGCGAAGGCGGCUCACUGGCCCGGUACUGACGUUGAGGUGCGAAAGCGUGGGGAGCAAACAGG